UAUAUAUAUAUAUAUAUAUCUCAUGAUCGGAAGGUUCUGGGAACGAUUUGCUGGAUGAGUGUGAGGCGUUGGAUUGAUUCACUCAAUCCGAGCCCCACAUUCAUCAAGGGUUCAUUUUCAAAAAGGAACCUCAGCUGAUUUUAAGGGGGGAUUCUGGUGAAAAAAACUGGAGAGAGAAAUUUCGGGGUCGGAAAUUUUGAAAGAAAAAUUUGAUAAAUCAUUUAGUUUUCAUUGAGUUUUUUGGCGUUUACAGUUUCGAUUCUGGAAAAAAGGUUUAGAAAUUUCAGUUUCUUUUGUUUGGUUCUAAGUCCUGUUUCAAAAAUCUAAAAAAAGAAUUUUCAUUAUCUUUCUUUGAUUCCUUUCAAAAAUGGAGAUGGACUAAGUUGAGAUCGAGUUGACUGUUCGUGCUCAAGUUUGUAGUUCUUGCAUUCUAACGCAUUGUAAUUGCUGUUAUUUUGAGUUUUCAUUAUCAAGUUCACUUGUAUUGGGUUCGAGACAGAAUUAAUCUAAGUUUUUCUUUGCAACUCCGGUUCAUUUGUUAUCCUCUUCUUUAUCGCUCUUGGUUCUAUGUUUGUUUGUGUGCGUAUUCCAUUAUGGUGUAGUUUGAAUCUGGAAACUCAAUGUCUGUUUCUUUUAGUCGAGUUUUAAACUCGUUUGGCCGUGGUUCAGGUCCAGUUAUGCUACUUUUUGAGUUGAAAACACUCCAAAAUCAUAAUAGAGCUGGAAUUUCUUAGUUUGUAUCUCAUUGUUACAGUCAUUUAGGCUUUUGUUGGAUUGAAUCUGCCAGUUAGCAGGUUCAUGUUGCUAUGGUUCUAUUCUCUACUUUUUGAAUCCAAUCCAUGAAUUUAUGGGACAACUGUUGGCUAUUUUUCUUGUGUUAAAAAACCGAGAAUGAAUGUAAAUAUUAGCCAUCCAACGUCACGUCCAUGUGUUUGCUAUUUUCUGCUGGUUUGAAGUUGCUGAGUGUACCCUUGUUAAUAUUUGUUCUUUGUUGCUCAUCAUGUUUGAGAGGAUUAAGUGAGAGUUCAUGUUUCCGGCAUGUAAAAUUCUAUCAUUUAUCUUCUUAGGCCGAUUUUAAUUUAAAACCUGGGUAGUUCGUGUGUUUGUUUACUUCAAAGUCAAUUUGCAAUUGCUAAUCGAGCUGAUACCUGCAGUAGUUUGGAAAUUGUUUGAACUACUAGGCAUGCUGAAAACGUAUCCUAUUUUUGCACUGG
rnacentral:lncRNA from 1 species